rnacentral:rRNA from 1 species
AGGAAAAGAAACUAACAAGGAUUCCCCUAGUAACGGCGAGUGAAGCGGGAAGAGCUCAAAUUUGAAAUCUGGUAGCCUUCGGUUGCCCGAGUUGUAAUCUAGAGAAGUGUUUUCCGUGCCGGCCCAUGUACAAGUCCCUUGGAACAGGGCGUCAUAGAGGGUGAGAAUCCCGUCCUUGACAUGGACCCCCGGUGCUUUGUGAUACACUUUCAACGAGUCGAGUUGUUUGGGAAUGCAGCUCAAAAUGGGUGGUGAAUUCCAUCUAAAGCUAAAUAUUGGCGAGAGACCGAUAGCGAACAAGUACCGUGAGGGAAAGAUGAAAAGCACUUUGGAAAGAGAGUUAAACAGUACGUGAAAUUGUUGAAAGGGAAACGAUUGAAGUCAGUCAUGCUCUUGGGACUUACCUCCCUUGAGUGGGGUCAACAUCAGUUUUGAUCGAUGGAUAAAGGCACGGGGAAGGUAGCACUCUCGGGUGAACUUAUAGCCUCGCGUCAUAUACAUUGAUUGGGACUGAGGAACGCAGCAUGCCUUAUGGCCGGGAUUCGUCCACGUACAUGCUUAGGA